rnacentral:lncRNA from 1 species
AAGAGUUAUAUCCUUUUUUUAUUUUAUUUUUUAUUUGCCUUGCCAUGUGUCACCCGUUGAAUGGAUAUGCAUGAAUUUUGAAAAAAUACCAUGCUGGAUGUUACCGCCCCUCUGAGAGAGAGAGAGAAGAGUUAUAUCCUUUUUUUAUUUUAUUUUUUAUUUGCCUUGCCAUGUGUCACCCGUUGAAUGGAUAUGCAUGAAUUUUGAAAAAAUACCAUGCUGGAUGUUACCGCCCCUCUCACCUUUUUCAAUUAAAUUUUCGUUUUUUUAUUUUAUUAUUUUCUUUUAUUAUUUAUUAUUAUUAUUAUUAUUUGUGUUAAGUAAUUAGGUUUUAUUUUAAUGAGAUGGUCAUUGGGCUUUGAUGUCUUACACACCUUUGCCACAUAUACACCCCACUAUGUUUUUUUCUUCUUUUCAUUUUACUAUUUAUU